rnacentral:rRNA from 1 species
AACGAACGCUGGCGGCAGGCUUAACACAUGCAAGUCGAACACCCGUAGCAAUACGGGAGUGGCGGACGGGUGAGUAACGCGUGGGAACGUGCCCUGAGGUACGGAAUAACUGCGGGAAACUGCAGCUAAUACCGUAUGAGCCCCGCAAGGGGGAAAGAUUUAUCGCCUUAGGAGCGGCCCGCGUCGGAUUAGCUAGUUGGUGGGGUAACGGCUUACCAAGGCUUCGAUCCGUAGCUGGUCUGAGAGGACGAUCAGCCACACUGGGACUGAGACACGGCCCAGACUCCUACGGGAGGCAGCAGUGGGGAAUCUUGCGCAAUGGGGGCAACCCUGACGCAGCCAUGCCGCGUGAAUGAUGAAGGCCUUAGGGUUGUAAAGUUCUUUUGCCCGUGACGAUGAUGACGGUAACGGGAGAAUAAGCUCCGGCUAACUUCGUGCCAGCCGCCGCAGUAACAC